UACGUAGGGUGCAAGCGUUGUCCGGAAUUAUUGGGCGUAAAGAGCUCGUAGGCGGUUCGUCGCGUCGGCUGUGAAAUCCCGGAGCUCAACUCCGGGUCUGCAGUCGAUACGGGCGGACUCGAGUUCGGCAGGGGAGACUGGAAUUCCUGGUGUAGCGGUGAAAUGCGCAGAUAUCAGGAGGAACACCGGUGGCGAAGGCGGUUCUCUGGGCAUUGACCUGACGCUGGAGGGAAGCUGAA
rnacentral:rRNA from 1 species